rnacentral:rRNA from 1 species
CACGGAGGCCCCGAGCGUUGUUCGGAAUUACUGGGCGUAAAGAGUGCGUAGGCGGCGAGGCAAGUCAGAUGUGAAAGCCCGGGGCUCAACCCCGGAAUUGCAUCCGAUACUGCCUUGCUUGAGGGUUGGAGAGGAGACUGGAAUUCACGGUGUAGCAGUGAAAUGCGUGGAUAUCGUGAGGAAGACCAAUGGCGAAGGCAGGUCUCUGGACAACUCCUGACGCUGAGGCACGAAGGCCAGGGGAGCGAAAAGG